CCGCUCGUGCUAAUAUUGAUACCCAAGCAAGCGAAAGACUCCAAAAUUUAACAACGAGCGUAAUGUGUGGUUCGUAAAAUGGAAUCUAGAGCGUUGCGAGGGUUAAACAAAUUUUGCUACUGAGUGAAACAACAUUUUUCACCACACCAACGCGAGGAAAAUACCAACUGUAAAACAUCAAACAAAA